CUCUUCUUGGUGAGAAGCGCCGCAGCCAAGGCACAAAACCCAGCGGGCCAAGGGGGUGACUGCGGCCAGGCAGAGGCUGUUUGCCGUGCAGAAAGCACAGUUCGGGAGAUAUAAAACAACGCGAAGCACUUUGCGGCAAACGGGCACAGGGCUGCCACUGGAGACCCCGGUGGAAGAUAAUGACAGCCAAAGGAGUCACAAAUCCUUCUGUGAUUGACAGGCAGCACUCUGAGAGGCAAGAGCAGUGAGCUGGUUUUCCUGUGAAGAGCUCACAUGUCUUCAUGCCUCAGCUCCGGCUUGGGCACAACAAGGAGACAAGAGGCAUAAGUUGGAAACCUCAUCUGACAGGACAAAUAAAUCCAGUGUUGGAAGAUCUACAAACGGAGCUCAUCUUCUCACCGUAGCCUUCAGUUUCUCAGGCAAACCUUGGAAUAUUACAGAAGCUUGUUCCUAUGUAUUAAAUGUUUGAAUAUGUGAGUGAAUAAACACAGGAAAGGACAUGCUGCA